GGCCGCCGCCACUGCCGCCGUCGCGUAUAGGGAGGGGGGAGAGGAAGGGGAGGAGUUGAGGCGGCUACGGUUGCCGCCUCUCGCCCCACCCCCGGCCUCUAAGAGGUGGCUGAGGCUGAAUGGGGAUGUAAGGGGUUCCUCCACCCUGGGGGAAGAAAAGGGGGAGGAGGAGACGCCGGGUGUGCAGACUGGAAGGAGAGGAGUCCCCCUCCCCCCCGGCGCGGGAGCGCGUGCGCACGCGCAGCGCGCUCGCAGACGUCUCGGCGGCCGGAGGUGAGAGUGAGUGGCUCCUGUCGCAGCUCGGAACCCCCGGGGGAUUCACCGGCGUCUUCUCCGCCCGAGAGCGGCGCCGGAUCCCGCUGCUGCCGCCCUCCCGCUGGGAUGAAAUUGGCCUUUCUCAAGUGGCACUAAGACUAGUUUCCAAAUUAGACAUCCUGUGACAAAACAGCCUUGUGGGAGACUAAUCAUUAAUGACUACAAAGCAAGUGGAGGCAUAGGAAAUCAGAAGUUUGGUCAGCCUGGGACAUCUCAGCUGUUGAAUUGAAGAACAGAGAAGACUGGAGUAGAUUGCCAGUGUGUGGAGUGCUACAACUAGGCAGAAGAAAAGGAGACCAGAAUCUAGCUUGGGACCAGUUCUGUAUUCACUGAAGUCACUUGGUGUAGGGACUAAGGCUAGCAAAAAGUGCAGGUUAAUCUUCAGGGGAAUCUGCCAUCAGAAACUGAAAAUUAGGAGAAUAAAAGACUGAAGUUAUCAAAGAUCCCAAAAGAAAAUUCAUUUUAAAAAGUUAAGAUAAAUCAACAGGUUAGCUAUUAAUAACUGAAGGGAAGAUGGCAUCCAAACAAACUGAGAAAUCUCUGAGUAAAUAUAAUAAGACGAAGAAAAAUGAAGCGACUCGUGAUGAAGCAGCAAAAACUUUGGAUUCCCAAGAGAGUAUGGAAUUACAACAGGAUGUUCCUGAAUGGUACAAGAGAGAAAUAAGGAUCUUCAAAGCAGAAUGUCUGGCCUAUACAGGAGAAAUAAUUGACAGAAUUGAAAAACUUGAAACUGCCUUAGCAAAUUUCUCCAAAGAAAAAAAAGAGAAGCUUUAGUUUUAUGAGGAACACAAACGAAAGAAGAAAUAAAGUUGUAUAAGGAGUAUAUGAAUAAAAGUUUAGGAUAGACAAAAAAGAGAAUUAGUGAAGAUUAAAAAACACUGAUAUUUUAAAACUAACAAAAUAAAGGAGAGAAGAGGAAGGGAGGGUUUUAAUCAACCAAUGAAGAAAAAAAAUGAGAGAGAGAAUUACAUUUUGUGAAAAAAAGAAUGAAAAGGAAUUAAUAAGUAAACUCCAAAAACUAGGGGAAAGAAUGAUAAACAGGGUAGGAAGAAUGGGGAAAUAUUUAUUUUAUUUAUUUAUCUGUUUUUUUAUAUCGUUCUUUUUUUGUAAUUUUAAGUUCCAAAUUCUGACUCUCCCCCCACCCAUUGAAAAGGUGAGCAGUAUGAUGCCUUUAUUUAUAUCUGUAAAGUCAAUCAGAACAUUUCUGUAUUAGCCAGGUUAGGGGAUAGGAGAAGGAAGAAGGGAAAAAACAAUGAAAAUGAAAAACUGUGUUCUUCGAUCUCCACUCAAUUCUCUUUCCAGAGAUAAAUGGCAUUUUUCAUUAUGAAUCCUUUGAUAUUACCUUGGAUCAUUGUGUUGAUCACAGUAGUUUAAGUCUUUCACAGGUGACCAACUUUACACAAUUGCUGUUUCUGUGUACAGUAUUCUAUUCUUCUCACUUUACUUUUUGCAUGGUUUGCAUGUCUCCAGGUGUUGUUCUUCUCACUUCUUGCACGGUUUGCAUGUGUCUUCUCAGGUGUUCUUGUCACUUUAUUUUUUGCAUAGUUUGCACGUAUCUUCCCAGAUUUUUCUGAAACCAUACUCAUCAUUUCUUAGAGCAUGAUAGUAUUCCAUCAAAUCAUAUACCAGAAUUUGUUCAAUCACUCUACAAUUGAUGGGCAUCCCCUAAAUUUCCAAUUUUUUGCCAACUACAAAAAGAGCUGCUAUAAAUAGUUUUGUACAUAUAGGUCCUUUUCCUAUUUCUUGAAUCUCUUUGUGUUAUAGACCUAGUGGUGGUACUGCUGGAUCAGAGUAAGCCUUUUGAGCAUAGUUCUGCUGAAUGCCUGGACCAGUUCAAAACUCCAUCAACAAUGCUUAAGUGUCACUAUAGUUAUACAUUCCCUCCAGCAUAUGUCAUUUUCCUUUUCUAUCACAUUAGCCAGUCUGAUAAGUAUGAAGUGAUAACUCAGAAUUGUUUAACUUGCAUUUCUCUAAUCAGUAUUGAUUUAGAGCAUUUUUAAAAUCUGUUAAUAGCUUUUAUAUCUUCUGAAAACUGCCUGUUCAUAUCUUUUGACCAUUUAUCACUUGAGAGCAGAGAAAGGCAUUUAAGGGUAAAGGGAAGCAAACCUGUAGAAAUAGGGUUUCCUUAAAGUAGAUUGAGCAAAAAUAACUUAAUAUCUUUAGAGAACAUGGAUUUUUUUUUUUUUUUUAAAUCCCAGCUCUGGGGAAAAAAAAAAAAAAGCCAUUAUUAGUCACACGGAUAAAAAUAAAAACCUAACUCAUAACUUUAUGUGUGAAUGGAUUAAAUAAUCCAAUAAAAUAAAAGUUAGAAAUUGAACAAGAAAACAAAUCCCCCAAAAUCUAUUGUUUAUCAGUGUUGUUUAAAGGAUUUCUUUGUUUUUCUUUAUAAAAUUGUCAUAUAUGGAAAGGGUCUAGUGAAGGGAGAGAGGUACUAGAAGAAAUUAUGCAAUGUAACCACCAAUUAAAUCAAUAAAAAUUUUAAAAGUGUAACCA